UGUGUGUGUGCAUGUGUGUGUGUAUGUGUGUGUGUGUGUGUGUGCAUGUGUGUGUGUGUGCGCGAGCGCGUGUCCUAAGCAGUUUUGGUCCUGACCACCCAGUGCAAUCACAUUAUCUCCUCUCUCACCAAGCCCACCUGUUUCUCAGCUGUUGCCCACGUGGAGGCGGCCUUGGCACUAGAUGCCAGCAAUCGCGGGAGAUAAGGAGCACCCAGUUAGACGACGCUUACAGCUAAAGCCUGUGCGUGGUGCCCCAGCCCGGCACCCGAUGCCUUGAUAGGACCGCAGUGGCGAGGGACAGUGUUCUUCACUUAACGGGAAGGACGCGGGGGCGGGGGGGGGGGGCGGGACCUAUCGGGUGCAGUGACCUUUCACGGCAGGCAGGCUGUGUGCCGACAUUGAGACAAUUAUCUCGGGAGCCCGUGGGCACCAACUUCCUGUUGAUAGCAUGCGGAGCUAAUUACCUUGAAGAAUUGACGGCAGAGGUUGGUGCCUGUAAUUAAUUGGCCCUCAGGAAGGCCUCGCUUGGCUCAGGACCAGGAGCAUCGGUGUCCAGCAGCGCCAAGCCCCCGCGGUUCCCCCUCUUAUGUCCUCCCUUCGCCACCGUGGAAGCUGCCCUCCGGUGCUUUGUCGCCUUCUCGAAACCUUUCCAGUGAACCCAACACCCGGUUGGCCGACCACCCACCCCCUCUCUCUGUUUAUAGUCUCCAAGGCCUGCAGGGAGGAAUCAGUGACCAGUUAAUAAACACAUUCUGUGUGGAAAAGGUCAGCCUGCGAAGGCCUCGGUAAUAUAUUCCCUCAGAAUGAGGGAGCAUGAGCAUUCUGCUUCCUCGGUCCUCUGGGGGUGGUCCAGAAGUUAGUCGGCCAUGUGGAUGCUUGAUGCCUGUACCUUCAAUGAAAGAGGCCCGGUGGGCUGUCUCUCCAUCCCACUGGACGGCUGGUGUGUAGGCAGAGGUUCUCAUUCUGCCUGGUCCAGCAGCCGAUCAGCCCCAAAUAAACACACGGACUUACACUAAUUAUUAAACUAUUGGCCGAUGGCUAGGGCUUCUUACUGGCUAGCUCUGUCUUGAUUGUUAACCCAUUUCUAUUAAUGUAAGUAUUUCCACAUGGUCUUAGCGGAGAAGGGUCCGGACUUGUUACUCCUUCUUCGGCUACAUGGGGUCUCCUCGCAGUACCUCUCCUCCAGCGUUCUCCUCGUCCCCUAGCCCCGCCUAUCUUCCUGCCUCUACUGGCCAAUCAGUGUUUCAUUCAUCAACCAAUAAGAGACAUACAGAAGGACGUCUCCAUCACCUGUCUUGGGGGGAGGAGGUAAAGUGGGGAAACACUGUGGCUGUGCGGCUGGGAGCUCCGGUCUCUGCUCUGCGCCUUCAUCUCCCACGACGGUGUAUACCAGAGUGUGGGCGUCUGCUGCAGCAUGGACCAGCCUAAGAGGCAUGGGACAGAGGCUACACCUGCCUCCCUGAUCCCUAGACACGGGUCCCAAAAGAAGAGGAGCACCAGUGGGCGGCCCUGCACAGUGUCAGCGAGUGAGUGAAACUAAAACCCAAAUCUUGUGUGGUUGUAAGGGCAGGAAGCGCCCCUGGACCAGACCGCCCUCUCAUGUUUCCUUUCGUAUGCUGUGCAGACUGGAGGGACGGUGCAGAUUUGGGCUCGGGGGCGAGCUGAGGAGGCUUAAGCUAUUGUAGAACCGGGCACAAAUGGGUCCAGUUGUCAAAAGAGGCUUGCUUUUGAACAUGAAGAAACCAUUGGCAUCAAAGGAAUGAAUGGAAGAUAAGGUAAACUCUGUCUGGAAGCCACCGCCUGAAGUUACCUGGAAGGUAAGUUGAUGAACACUCUUUGUAUUAGUGCAUGUGUUGUAGGUAGUCCUCUGCGAUACCAUUGUCCAUUUCCAUUUUGACACACUGUAGGCUCUUUCCGUGUCAGUGGGGAUGGUGCUUCACCACUCUUUGUAAAGGCUACACAGGACUCUAUUGUAUGGUUGUCCCAUGAUUAAUUUAACCUGUCCCUUAUAAUUCACAUUUAUCCACAUUCACUCAGCAGCAUAAUUAUCCAUUUAAUCACCUGUCUCUCCCUCUAGGCUGUGUGCUCGCUGAACACGGGGAUACAUCUGAAGCCCACAGGCGAACAAUGGGCACCCAACAAAUGUUUACAUGGACAGAUGGGUCCCUUCCCUGCUUCAGUCCCUGCCCUCAGUGAUGGAGAGUGACCUGAGGGCAAGCCAAAGCAAACCCUCCCCUUAGGGCUGUGGUGUUUCACCACAGCGACGGAAACCCCGGUGAAGACAGUCGUCCAGUGCUGUGCGUCUCAAACAGAUUCAAAACCCCCAUCUUUGGAAGAAAAGAGCUCGAGUCUCGAUUUUCUCAUCUGUAAAGUGGGGCAAUAGGCACGGCUUCUCAGAAGGUGUGGAUUGAUAAACUCCUGCCUGCGGUGCAGUAGGGAUUACCUGCCCUAGUAUGGCUGUGUUGAGAAAGGGUUAGCUCGGAGCAGAGGGAGCAAGUGGUACCCACUGUGCCCAGAGUGUAAGGGAUGACCCAGUCCCCAGCAGGGGGGCAUUGAGAAGCAGGGCUUUUAUGGAGGAGAAAAGUCGUGAGAGAGGGUGGAGUGAGUCCUCAUGACGGAGGACUAAGGAGAGCACCCACCUCUGCUGCAGAAUACGCCAGGCGCAGGAGUGGCUUCUCACUGGACGCCAGAUCGUUUGUGUCUGGGACUUCCCAGCCUUCAGGGCUAGGAAUAAUAAUAUCCCGCUUUUAAUAAACCAACCCACUGGAAAGUGUUUUGUUACAGCAGCCCAGAUAGGGCAAGGUAAUUCUCCACAGAGCGUUGGUCCCACCGAUUGUGGAAGAGAAGCCUGGAGACCGCCUAGGGGCUGCGGCGUGAGGAUAAAGGAA